rnacentral:piRNA from 1 species
GCACAUUCCAAGAUACUUGAACUUU